GUAUAUAAGGGGAGUAACUCGUAGUGUGAUCAUUAUCUCAGGAACAUUUGUCAGUAGUCAACAAGUCAUAAAUAUUUCCACAUCAUGCAACUUUCUUGCCUCUUUCUCCUCGUCUUGGUGGCCUGCGUGGCGGGUGCGCCCAGUUCCGACUGCGACGACAACAGCGCCGACGGAGGUGUUGCAGGCGGUAGUAGUCCCCU